rnacentral:lncRNA from 10 species
UUGCUUUUCCUGUUCCAGCUUUUUCACGCACAGUCAGGACCCCCCUGGAACUUCAUCUACUGCCAGCUCCCCCAUUCCCCUCCCACGAGUGUGGGUGGCCCUCUUAGCCUCUGACCGCAUACUGGAACCUGCGGAGGCAGUGUUACCAGACCUGAGGUCUUCCUCUGCAUUUCAUUUGCUGUUCCCUGGCCUGCAAUGCCCCUUCCUUCCCACCUCCCCCGAGGGCCUAGCAGCCCCUCCUACACAGCCCUCUAGCCCCUCUGUGCUCAAAGUGCAUCUGAGGACAUCACCUGAGAGCUGUAGGAGAUGCAGGAUCUCAGGCCCCACCCCAAACCUACUGAAGCCAAAUCUGCUGUUUAACGUGAUCCCUGGAGAUUCAUAAGCAUGUUGUCUGUGCAGCACGGAGUGAGGGGCGGCUCCUCUUCGCUGCACCCCUUCCUGAUUACCCCUAGGCCCAGCCAAAUAAACUCUUCUUCCUGCUCCCUUGUGCCCCAUUUGGACUUCACUCGUAACAAGGGAGUAUAACUGGAUGGUAAAAGGGACUUUUCCUGUUAUCUAGACAUUUCAGCAGAGGCCUCAAAGGCAGAACAAAAUAGUGCAAGGAGCCGCACAUCCGCACAGUGCUGAGACCCUGCCCAGGACAAGCUUGAUCCUGGCACCCAAGUGACAACCUGCAUUGAAAAGGCGGAACUUGGCUCUCCUGCCCUGCCAGCUGUAAGAGCUUGAAAGCAAAGCUAUGGGGGGAAUGUCUUUCAUUUCCCCCUGGAAGCUGGGAGGACGUUCAGCUUAGCAUUGCCAACUGUGUAAUGUGGACUUGCCUCUAAAAGAAGCCUUUUUCCUUGGAUGUCUUUCAGGCCGCAGUAUUCCCUUUGGCACCCCCACCCACCUGGAACAAAGCCUGAUGUAAAGUCUGGGUGCGACUCAGACCGGCCUGGGAAAGAAUUUAUUUAAUAAAUGGUGGAAAGUGGCUUCCUUGACGUGUCUUCGAUGGCUUUUUUAUAAAGCAUUUGGUUUGUCUACUCGUCUGUUUUUGCGCCAUCUCUUUCCACAAAGAUGGCUUAUAGCAGGGAUACUUACAACAAAAUGAUGCUGGGAAAACAAAAACAAAGAAGUAGAGAAUUAGGCCUGAGAAAACUAGGAGUAGAGAGUCACGAUUAGAUACAGAGGAGCAUAGAUGUGUAGUCUAGGAAGGCCAACUAAUUGUUAUAGCUGAAAUUCAAAUUCAGUUAGCUAAAAUGUUCCUAGUGUCAAAGGAAGAAUGGGCCACACAGUUGCAUAAUCCUUAGUAUUAGGGAGAAGGAAAAGGUUCCAGUUAUUCAGAGGGAUGUUCUCUUGCCUUAUUCCUUUAAUAAGUAUCUGUUAAAGGCCCACCAUGUGCCAAGCACCAUGCCCGGCAAGCACUGCACUCACCCCCCAGGAACUCAGUGUCUAAAGGAGACUGGGUGAAAGAACUAUAUUUGUGUGCCUAUGAUGUGUCAAAUACUAUGCAUUUAGUUAUGCAGUUACUGUAUGUUAGACACUAUGCAUUUAAUUAUUUACCUGCUGUAUAUCAGACACCAUGCAUUUUCAUUUAACCCUCAUAAGCACUUACAUCAAGUAGACACUGUUACCUCUUUUUUACAGAUGAGAAAACAGAGUCUCUUCCCGCAGCUGGACUGUCAUCUCAGGGAGCCUGUUCUGGUGACUUCUGGAAAGGCCUGGACUCCUUUGUUCCAUGGAGUCAUCAGGUAACUACGAAGAGUCCUCAGUUUGCUUUUCCCCAGCGCCUUGUCGAGCUUCCUUGGGUGUCCCAGGUCUUGCUGUGUUCAGUGCGGCUUGGGUCAUACUUGGUCUUCUUGGGCAAUGACAAAGGUGGCUUUUAGUUAGGGAAGGAAGACAGCCUCAGAAGGGAGAAGCCUAUCAGUAUUUCAAGCCCCAGGCGAUGUGAAAAACUGAGCCUUUGUUUGGGAGUGUCAGCCCCCAGGACUUGCGUGUUUCUGCCCUGAAGCGUUUUCUGCUUUCUGAAGGCUGCAGUUCUCUUCCUCGUUUUAUUGACUGCCUACGUGCCAGGGGCUUUGUGAAUAUUACCGCACUGAAAUUCCCAAUACCCAGCAAGAAGGCAUUAUUAUCCUUAUUUUACAGAUGAGAAAAUAGAGAUUAAACAACUUACUUAACUGUUUGAACUCCGUGGGGCACAAACAUGAAAUGAUUCUAUUUUUUCUCCAGAUCUUUUUAGAGAUUUAUACCAAAUCUCCUUUUCAUAAUUCCAUAGCUUUUUGGUUGUUUUUAGGUAUUAAAAAACCCCUAUGGUCCAGUCCACUUUCUUUUCAAAGCCUCAAAUCUUGAAUCCGAUAUCAUAUCC